rnacentral:rRNA from 1 species
UACGUAGGCAGCAAGCGUUGUUCGGAGUUACUGGGCGUAAAGAGUGCGUAGGUGGUGCCCUAAGUCUGUUGUGAAAUCUCCCGGCUUAACUGGGAGGGUGCGGUGGAAACUGGGGUGCUUGAGUGUGGGAGAGGUAAGCGUAAUUCCUGGUGUAGCGGUGAAAUGCGUAGAUAUCAGGAGGAACACCGGUGGUGUAGACGGCUUACUGGACCACGACUGACACUGAGGCACGAAAGCGUGGGUAGCAAACAGG